AUUCCUUACUCCCCGUCACAGACCAGGACGAAUUGAGACAUCCUGUCCCCUGGGAGUGCAAAAGGGAAAGCAAGAGAAAAUCAAUAGGGAGGAUGAGUGAAGACCCAGGGGCCCCAUCAAAAACAGAAUGUUUCUCAUCUGUGCUGUGUGGACAGACGGUGACCUGAAGCACGCUGUGAAAGCAAUGCCCCAAAGAGUAAACAGGAAA